AAUGUUAAUAUCUUGGGUUUGGGGAGUGAGAAAGAUGAGAAAGAUGAAUAAAAGAGUGUCAUUAGAAAAGAAAACUCUAGGGACAAAAGGAAAAUAUGAAGCUCUAGGUUAUGUACAAAAGAACCUUCCCCCUUAAAAAAAAAGAAAAAAAAAAGAAUCAAAGAGAAAGUGGGGUAGGAAAUGAGAAAGAGUUAGAGUUAAGUGUUUGUAAAGAAAAUGAAUUAAAGUCCCU
rnacentral:lncRNA from 1 species